UACGUAGGGGGCAAGCGUUGUCCGGAUUUAUUGGGCGUAAAGCGCACGUAGGCGGCUCUGCAAGUCGGAUGUGAAAUCCCUCGGCUCAACCAAGGAAGUGCAUCCGAAACUGCGGAGCUUGAGUACUUAAGAGGAUCGCGGAAUUCCCGGUGUAGAGGUGAAAUUCGUAGAGAUGUGGAGGAACACCAGUGGCGAAGGCGACUCUUUGGCCUGUAACUGACGCUGAGGCGCGAAAGCGUGGGGAGCAAACAGG
rnacentral:rRNA from 1 species